GGCUCUCGUGGGUCUCCAGCUUGCUGACUGUAGAUCUUGGGACUAAACAGCCUCCAUACUCAUGUUGACGGAAACAUGCCUUGGUUCACAGAGAUUAUAAGGAUUAUGGAACACAAAGAACAUAAAACUACUUAGCAUUUAUGCUAAACCCCUCAAUAAACAAAGUAUGUCGUGGGCCACUUCCAGUGCAGAAGAAAGCCUGACCUUUGGAGAGGGGCUAUAAAAAGACAACCAAAUCUGCUCCUUCUUUCCCCACAAUGCACCUUUCACAAAGGCAGAGAAGCGAAGGAUCUCUGUGUUCAAGUGAAAGGUACACAAAGGCAACUUGGCAUUUUGUCAAGCUGAUGGCCAGAGCACAGAGCGGCAAGCAAGAUGCUGCUGAGACUGGGACAGCCUGAUGUGGCCAGGGCCGGAAUGGAUCACUGCAUUUCUGUGGUUGAGCUCAGUCGGUUGUUUCUUGGGACCAUAUUGAAGGGAAAUAGCAAUCUUCGAAUAUUAGUCGCACGCAGCAGGUGGGAACUGGAUAGACUGCGGUGAGGAGGAGAUUGUAAGCUUCCAUUUCACACUUACCCACGAGCCAUGUGCUCGAUAGUCAGUGGUAGAUGGGUGGUUUUCCUGCAAUGGAUGUUUAUAUUGUGACUCUCAUAUCUCCCCCACCAACUCUCUCUCUCCCCCUAUUCCCUGCUCCCUCAUCUUUCUGCCAGAGCACAGGCAUAUCUGUCUAGCAUUCGUGGGUUCAGAAAAGUUCUCCCACCUUGGCACAGGCUUCUCUUCUCCCCAACUUUCCCGGGCCAGUAAAAUUAAUUCAGCAAAUAUUUAUUUAUUGAAUGGUUCUUAUGCCAGGCACUGAGGAGAUAAUGGGGCACAAAGCAGAUAAAAACCCUGCUUAUGUUCCAGUGGAAGAAGUAAGUGAGUUGGAACUCUGACCUAGGAUCGCCCACUUGUCAUUUUGCUAAGUUAGGACUUAAGGAUAGAAACAAACCUCUCAUGAUCAUUGUUGCUAUCAGUUUCUCCCUAGAAGACAAUGGUUAUUUUAACAUCCAAAAGAGUC